rnacentral:rRNA from 1 species
GACAGAGGGGCAAGCGUUGUCCGGAGUGACGUGGGCGUACGAGCGAGCGCGCAGGGCGGGUCGCGACGUGCCGUGUAACAGCGCACUGCGUCACCAGUGCGUAGCCAUGGUAGACGCGCGGUCUGGAGGCCGUGGAGAGGGAUAGUGGAAUACCCAGUGGAGACGGUGAAAUGCGUAGAGAUUGGGAUGGAACCACCAGGGG